rnacentral:rRNA from 1 species
ACUCCUACGGGAGGCAGCAGUGGGGAAUAUUGCACAAUGGGCGCAAGCCUGAUGCAGCCAUGCCGCGUGUGUGAAGAAGGCCUUCGGGUUGUAAAGUACUUUCAGCAGUGAGGAAGGCGGGUACGUUAAUAGCGUGCUUGUUUGACGUUAGCUGCAGAAGAAGCACCGGCUAACUCCGUGCCAGCAGCCGCGGUAAUACGGAGGGUGCGAGCGUUAAUCGGAAUUACUGGGCGUAAAGCGCAUGCAGGUGGUUUGUUAAGUCAGAUGUGAAAGCCCGGGGCUCAACCUCGGAAUUGCAUUUGAAACUGGCAGACUAGAGUACUGUAGAGGGGGGUAGAAUUUCAGGUGUAGCGGUGAAAUGCGUAGAGAUCUGAAGGAAUACCGGUGGCGAAGGCGGCCCCCCUGGACAGAUACUGACACUCAGAUGCG